UACGUAGGGGGCGAGCGUUGUCCGGAAUCAUUGGGCGUAAAGCGCGUGUAGGCGGUUCAGUAAGUCUGCUGUGAAAGUCCAGGGCUCAACCCUGGGAUGCCGGUGGAUACUGCUGAACUAGAGUGCGGAAGAGGCGAGUGGAAUUCCCGGUGUAGCGGUGAAAUGCGCAGAUAUCGGGAGGAACACCAAUUGCGAAGGCAGCUCGCUGGGACGUUACUGACGCUGAGACGCGAAAGCGUGGGGAGCGAACAGG
rnacentral:rRNA from 1 species